rnacentral:rRNA from 1 species
UACGUAGGGGGCAAGCGUUGUCCGGAUUUAUUGGGCGUAAAGAGCGUGUAGGCGGCCGAAUAAGUCUGACGUGAAAUCUGGAGGCUCAACCUCCAGCUGUCGUUGGAAACUAUUCGGCUAGAGUCCGGAAGAGGAGAGUGGAAUUCCCGGUGUAGCGGUGAAAUGCGCAGAUAUCGGGAAGAACACCUAUGGCGAAGGCAGCUCUCUGGGACGGUACUGACGCUGAGACGCGAAAGCGUGGGGAGCGAACAGG